rnacentral:rRNA from 1 species
UACGGGGGGGGCAAGCGUUGUUCGGAAUUACUGGGCGUAAAGGCUCGUAGGCGGCCAACUAAGUCAGACGUGAAAUCCCUCGGCUUAACCGGGGAACUGCGUCUGAUACUGGAUGGCUUGAGAUUGGGAGAGGGAUGCGGAAUUCCAGGUGUAGCGAUGAAAUGCGUAGAUAUCUGGAGGAACACCGGUGGCGAAGGCGGCAUCCUGGACCAACACUGACGCUGAGGAGCGAAAGCCAGGGAGCAAACGGG